AAGGGUUUAAAGGGUCUAUCCAGUUUCAGGAGCCUCUCAUGGCUUAGUGAAGUGGAAGAAAGAGGAAGUAUCCAUGUCAGCAAGGAGACAAAAGGGGAUCUUGUAAAAAGUGUAAGCAUGCCAAGGAGGAGGUACGGUAUCUGCGGUUUGGACAAAGAGCAAACACAAGACAGAAUAAAUGCUAUGCCUGGAUCUCUCUAAUUUAAUCUUGGGGUGCCAUUGGGAGCCUGAAGGCUGGAAAAGGAGGCAUGUGAUGGGAAGGUUGUUGGCUCCAAAAGUGCUGUUUGGGUUCCUUUGGGCAACUUUUGGGAGCUUAAGCCCCAGUUAAGCCCCAGCUACUCAAGUGGAUCUUCUGAGUGGCCAACAGUCUGAGACUGCUGUUGUAUUAGAAAUCUCCUGGGUGAAAAUGUAGAGUACGAGCUGCAGAGUGUUGCAGAAUGAAAUGUGUGUCAUGACCAUUGAAAAAGCAUGAAUAAACUAAGUUUAAA